UACGGGGGGAGCAAGCGUUGUUCGGAUUUACUGGGCGUAAAGGGCGCGUAGGCGGCGCAACAAGUCACUUGUGAAAUCCCCGGGCUCAACCCGGGAACUGCGUCCGAUACUGGCAGGCUUGAAUUCGGGAGAGGGAUGCGGAAUUCCAGGUGUAGCGGUGAAAUGCGUAGAGAUGUGGAGGAACACCAGUGGCGAAGGCGACUCUUUGGUCUGUAACUGACGCUGAGGCGCGAAAGCGUGGGGAGCAAACAGG
rnacentral:rRNA from 1 species